CACACACACACACACACACACACACACACACACACACACACAUACACACACACGCUUGUGGGACACUGGCUUGUAUUCAUCUGAGAAGCUGUGGAUUAGCAAAGCCAGGUCGGGGUCUCUGAGUGCCCUGAAGGGACACACCAAGAACUCGAGUGUCUGUCAGCUGGACGGUGGAAGUGUCUGUGGACAGCACAGGACCCUGAGCAUGAACUUGAGGGAGUGGGCUUUUCUUUGUGUGAGCUAAGAGUCUCAUGUGGUCAUGCCUGGCCUGGAACACUCUGUAGACCAGGCUAACCUUGAACCCACAGAGAUCUGCUUGCCCUCUGCCUCCUGAGUGCUGGGAUUUCAGCUACCAUAGCCAGCUGAAAAAUAGUCUUUACAUUUCUUUGUUUGUUUGUUCUCUGUUUGUGUGUGUUUGUGUGUGUUCCCACUCAUGCACAUACCUUGGCAUACAUGUCGAGGUCAAAGGACAACAUGUGGGAAUGGCUUCUCCCAUUCCACUUCAUGGUUCCUGGGGAUCACACUCAGAUUGUCAGGCUUGGGGACAGCUGUCUUUGGUCAGACAUGGCAGUGGCUGAUACACGGGUGUUGCUGAGAUCUUCUGAGUCAGAGCUUCUGAUUGCAAGGGACCCAGCCACAGCAGAGUGGGAGGUGCGAUGUUCCUCCAGGAGACGAGAGCCUUGGCUGGGACCAUCCCUGCAGCAGGGGAAGGGAAGAGGGGGCUGUCCUUUUCCAUCCUCACUCUCACAUGGCAAGGCCUGACAUCUUUACAUGCAGUGAAUAGUUUUCCAUCUAAAACUGCCAUGUUCUGAAAGGCUUUGAGCCACCUCUUGCCAGCUGACUUGUCUAAAGUGGAUGUGGGAAAUGGGGCUUCAUCUAAGGUUCCCCUCACAUUGGCAAAGUCCCUGGUUGAGUAUAGGGGGCACCUGAAGUGACCUUGUUUUUGACCAAGACAGCUGCGUAUGACCCUCAGACAUAUGCCCAUUUGACUGCCAACUCCCCGAGCUCCUCCUAGGUCAUGUGACAUCAGGUCUGAGCCCCUCAGCAGCUGCAGGGUAUGUCCAGCCAUGAUGCUGGACUGUGUCCUCCACAGCUUCAGGAUUGACUUACGAGAGGUGCUAGCCUGCUGGCCUCUGCUGGCCUUCAGUCCAGAGGCCACAUGGGAGGUCAUUGGUCAGGGGUGGACUUGAGUUGAUAUAUAGGUGAUGACGUUCAUGUAUUGGUGCUGUGACCACUGCUCUGUUUCUAAGAAUUCAGGGACUGGAAGGUCCUCAAAACUGGUCUCCCUGACCCUCGGAGUGGUUUGGGCCCUUGCUCUCUGUGGCCUUAUCUUGAGGAGGGGACAUAUCAGAAAGUCCCAUGCAAGCGAGGUGCUUCAAAGCAGUCAGAAUUCUAUGAUGUCUGCUUGAAGAAAAGCUUUUAAGAGUGAAGAAAAGCAACCAGGCAUGGUGCACAGGCCUGUAAUACCAGUCUUCAGGAGACUAAGGCAGGAGAACUAAGAGUUCCAGGCUGGCCUGGAAGGAAGACCCUGUCUCAGAAAACC
rnacentral:lncRNA from 1 species